rfam:Oryza brachyantha chromosome 3, whole genome shotgun sequence.
UUUAACUCUUCGUCUUAUUUGAAAAAAAGUUAUGAUUAAUAUUUUUAUUGUUAUUACAUGAUAAAACAUGCAUAGUGCUUUACACGUGACUAAUUUUUUUUUCAAUUUUUUAAAUAAAACGGAUGGUCAAA